rnacentral:rRNA from 1 species
GGGUCAGUAGGUUGGUCGUGCCACCGGUACGUACUGGUCUCACUGAUUCCUCCUUCCUGAAGAACCGUAAUGCCAUUAAUUUGGUGUUGCGGGGAAACAGGACUGUUACUUUGAAAAAAUUAGAGUGUUUAAAGCAAGCUUACGCUUGAAUACAUUAGCAUGGAAUAAUGAAAUAGGACGAUCGAUCCUAUUUUGUUGGUUUCUAGGAUUGACGUA